GGGAGAUCUCUCUGGGUUAGGGACUUGCUGGGGGUGUUAACGAAGGAGAGGAAUCUAAGAGAGAGAGAGAGAGAGGAGCUGUGAAUGGUAAAUGACUGGAGCGACACGGAGACGAAGGGAAAUGGACGGGUCGAACCGGUCGAACUGGUCCGGUCAGAGUCGGGCCCGAAACUUAGGCUUGUAGAUUUUGUGCCGAAUAUGGACCGAAAAAUUAAUUACCCCAAAGGCCUGGAUUUUUCGAGUCUCCAUUUUGUCUAUAAUCAUAUCCACGCAAUUUUUAUUUAGAAAAACUUUAAAUAUCAACCUUAUAAUUUCGGACUUUUUUACUUUAAUACUCUAUAAUUUAAAAUGUAUCACUUUUGUAUUCUUUGGUUUAUUUUUUUUUCUUUCCGUUACCCCCUUCGUUAAUUUUUUCGUUAAAUCAAUAGAAAGUUAAAACCACAUCGUACUAAACUAAAAAUUUAGUAAAUCAUAAGGGGAAUAUCUAAAGUUUUUUUUGUAUAUAAUUUAAUGUAGAGUUAACAAAACGUUGACGUAAAAUAAAAAUAAAACCACAGGAUGCUCAAGUGAUANUUCUCUUUUUCUUAUCAAUUUCAUUAUUUUUUUUUCCUUAAAUCAGUAAUAAAGUUAAAAUUAAAGGUAUUAAAGUGAAUAUUUGAUAAAUCAUAGGUGGAAUAUCUAAAGUUUUUUUUGUAUAUAAUUUAAUGUAGAGUUAACAAAACGUUGACGUAAAAUAAAAAUAAAACCACAGGAUGCUCAAGUGAUACACUUUAAAGCACAGGGUAGUAAAAUGAGAAAGCACGAAAUCACAGGAUAGUAUUUGAAGUUUAUCCUUUUU
rnacentral:lncRNA from 1 species